UAAGUAAGACAGAUGAUCGCGGCUGGCAGGCCGAAAGGCGCCAGACGAGGAAAGUCCGGGCUUCGCAGGGCAGGAUGCCGGAUAACGUCCGGUGGAGGCGACUCCAAGGCCAGUGCAACAGAAAUGUACCGCCAGCGUUAGCUGGUAAGGUUGGAAGGGUGGUGUAAGAGACCACCGCCCUGCCGGUAACGGCAGGGGCACAUGUAAACCCCAUCCGAAGCAAGACCGAAUUAAAACGAUAGGCUUGCCCGGCCUGUUUUAGGUAGGUCGCUGGAGCCUGUUGGCGACGACAGGCCUAGAUAGAUGAUGAUCCACGACAUAACCCGGCUUAUCGUUUUGCUUAUCCU
rnacentral:RNase_P_RNA from 1 species